ACCAGGAUUAGAUACCCUAUUAUAAAAAUUUAAAUUAAUUUACUAAAAAAUUAAUAGUUAUGUUCUUUAAAUUUAAAAAAUUUGGCGGUAUUUUAGUCUUAUUAGAGGAACCUGUUUUUUAAUUGAUAAUCCACGAUUAAUUUUACUUAUUUUUAAUAGUUCAUAUAUCGCUGUCAUGAAUAUAUUUAAAAAUUUACUUUCUUUAUUUAUUUUUAUAAUUUAUGUUAAGUCAAGAUGUGGUUAAUAAAUAAGUAUAUAAUGGGUUACAUUAAAUUUUAUUUUUGGAUUUUAAAUGAAAAUUAAAAUGAAAUUGGAUUUAAUAGUAAAUUUUUUUAUUUAAUUAAUA
rnacentral:rRNA from 1 species